CUCUACAGCUCUACUCUCCCCUCCCGCGGAGGCGUGGACGGCAUGGAGUUGGGGGAGCCCGGGGCCCGUGGAUGCCGUGGUCCCGUGCGAUUACUGUGCGUGGCUGGCUGUUCGCUCUCCUCCCUCCCCGCGUGUUUUCAGGGGCGGCCUUGCUCAGUUCAAUGAUGGGAACAGAGUGCAUCAUGGCCACACUCGGCGGGGAUCCUGAACCCUCAAUUCCACCUGGAUUCGGACCUUUUGUUGCCCUCGCGCUACAGGGCAUCCAAAACAAUGCCAAAUCAGCUGAUGCUCAUUCUAGUUCUGCUCAAGCAGCACACUGCAUGGAGAAAGAUGUUGAAGUUCUGGAACACGGUUCGGCGCAUGGUUGGAGUGACACUCCUGCUAGUACUUCAGGGACCCAUAGUUGCAGGAGGUCACUUCGUAACAGGCCUCCAAUAGACUAUAGCCAGUUCGACCUUAUCUCGGACGAAGAAUCUGAUGUUGAAUCAGCAGAAAAGGGAGUGGGAUUAGUGAGACGCAGACGACAAUUACCGAAAGGAGUACUUCGGGGAUGCGCACAAUGUGCUGAUUGUCAAAAGGUUGUUGCAAGGUGGAAUCCAUCUGGUGCAAGGAGGCCUGUUCUUGAGGAAGCUCCUGUUUUCUAUCCAUCCGAAGAGGAAUUCAAGGACACCUUAAAAUACAUUGAGAGUAUACGGUCUACAGCAGAACCAUAUGGAAUUUGUCGUAUUGUCCCGCCGCCUUCAUGGAAACCUCCAUGCCUUCUUAAAGAGAAGAACAUAUGGGAAUGCUCAAAAUUUUGUACUCGGGUACAGAAGGUUGACAAGCUCCAAAACCGUAAAUCAUCCAAGAAGGGCAGAAGAGGUGGGAUGAUGAAGAAGCGGAGGAAGCUUUUAGAGCUGGAAGAUAACAAUAAUAUUAAUCACAAUCAAACUGGGGUGCAGCAAAACCAAGAGAGGUUUGGAUUUGAACCUGGACCUGAGUUCACACUUCAGACAUUUAAGAAGUAUGCAGAUGAUUUCCGUGAACAAUAUUUUAAGAAAGAAGUGUCCGCGGACUCACCACCAUCAGUAGAAGACAUUGAAGGCGAGUAUUGGCGUAUAGUCGAAAAGCCUACUGAAGAGAUAGAGGUAGUAUAUGGUGCUGAUUUGGAGACUGGAACUUUUGGUAGCGGCUUCCCAAAGUCUUCUCCCGAAGUAAAAUCUGAUGUUGAGCAUAAGUACUUAGAGUCUGGUUGGAACCUAAACAACUUGCCUAGACUACAAGGUUCAGUACUAUCUUUUGAAGGUGGGGACAUCUCUGGUGUUUUGGUCCCUUGGCUGUAUGUUGGAAUGUGCUUUUCAUCAUUCUGCUGGCAUGUUGAAGACCAUCAUUUGUACUCACUGAACUACAUGCAUUGGGGUGCUCCAAAGAUGUGGUAUGGAGUUCCAGGAAAGGAUGCCGUAAAUUUGGAGGCAGCAAUGAGGAAACAUCUACCUGACUUGUUUGAGGAACAACCUGAUUUGCUUCACAACCUGGUUACUCAAUUUUCAACUUCAUUGCUUAAAUCUGAAGGAGUACCAGUCUACCGAUGUGUGCAGCAUGAGGGAGAGUUUGUCCUAACAUUCCCUCGGGCAUACCAUGCUGGUUUCAACUGUGGCUUCAAUUGUGCAGAAGCUGUUAAUGUGGCACCAAUUGAUUGGUUACCAAUUGGACAGGAUGCAGUCGAGCUUUAUCGUAAGCAAGCUCGGAAAAUUACUGUUUCCCAUGAUAAGCUGUUGCUAGGGGCUGCAAGAGAAGCAAUAAGAGCUCAUUGGGAUAUUCUGUUCCUUAAGAAAAAUACUGCUGAUAACUUGAGGUGGAAAAGCAUGUGUGGACUUGACAGUACUAUAUGCAAAUCGCUUAAGGCAAGAAUCGAUUUGGAGUUGGCGCAAAGACAAAAUAUAUGCUCUCCAUCUCAAUCUAGAAAAAUGGAUGCUGAAUUUGAUUCAACUGAUAGAGAGUGUGCAUUGUGCUAUUAUGAUCUGCAUCUUUCUGCUUCUGGCUGUCCAUGUUGCCCAGGGAAAUAUACCUGCCUUGUACAUGCAAAGCAGCUUUGCUCAUGUGACUGGGACAAAAGAUUUUUCCUUUUCCGUUAUGAUAUCAAUGAGUUAAAUAUGUUGGCUGACGCUUUAGGUGGGAAGUUAAGUGCAAUUCACAGAUGGGGUGUCUCUCAUCUUGGAUUAAGUUUGAGAUCAUGUGUCAAAAGAGAAAAAGACCAAGAUUCGAAGACUCCUCGCAGAGUAACUGAUGGCCCCAGAAGGUCCUACAUGUCUCAGGCGUCAACAGUAUCAUUGGCACCUUCGUUGGUUUGCAAUGAACAGAACAACAAUGGUAAUAAGAUGCUGGAAAAAGCUAGUUUGGAAACAGAUACUUGUCCUUUUGCAGAGCAAAUAAAAUCUGGAACUAUUUCACUACAGGAGGCACCAUGGUUAUUAAAACGUCGUUUAAACGACGAUUAAGCGUCGUUUAAACGCUAAAACGCGAUUAGUAGAUAAAACGUCCACACGUUUUACCAAAACUGCGUAGAACGUCCGUUCUGGACGUUUAAACGACGUUUACACGUCGGAACGCACGUUCUGGACGUUCUAUGCGCUAUAUGGACGUUCUAUGCUCAUAGCGUUUGUGGGCCUUAAUGGCCUAAUGGGCCUUUACCCAGCCGCUGAUCCAACGCGCGCAGCCGCUGAUCCAUCACUGCCAGACGCCAUCGCGCCCAGCCGCCCAGACCGCUGGUGGUUUGUUUGGUAAAUGGGGAAUGGGCAAUACUCUGUUGGUUCCCUGUUAAGUGUUACAUUUUCAAUGCGGUCAUGGAAAUGGAAUUAGAUGUUGCUGUUGUGAAGAGAGAUGACCUUGGAAAUGCUCAUGGUCUUAAUCUUGAUGAGUUCGAUGAUGGUUACUAAUCAUACAUGAAAGUUGUAACUUGUGUUGUGUGGUUGAACUUAUGCUAAUGCUAUUUGGUUUGUGAACUCAACUUAUGUAUGAACUUAUUCUAUAUUUAAAAUUCUAUGUCAAGUCUGAAAAGACGUUUCAACGUUCGCUUAAACGUUUAAACGUUGAAAAGUUGGUUCAUAACGUUUUAACGUUUUACCGUUUUAAUAACCAUGGGAGGCACACAUGAAGACUGAGGUAUCCUGUACACUAAACAACAGUGUCAGUCCUGAAGGCCACAAAAGCUCACUAAGCUUGCCAGUUCCUUCUGGCCAGUCACUUUCUUCCAAUCUUGCCACAAGGUCUUUAAGUACUGCAGGAGAAUCUGUGAAAAAUGCAUAUGACUUGGUAGUAUUUAAAGGGAGUAGAGAAUCUUCUCGGGCUGGAGACUGUAUAUCUUCGCUUGGUGUGCAUCAUAACAUACCGCCAAUAAUGAUUGAUCAAGGAAGCAACAUGAAUCCUAGUAUGGAGAGCUCAAACAAUUCACAUAGGUUGAUGGCAUCUAACACUAAUGCAACUAAGUUUUACUCUUACAAGGACCAAAUGCAUGUAACACCAGAAAGUCAAGCUUCUGCUGCAUCAAGUCAGCCCUUUGCGGGAACUGUUUUAAGAGCACAAAGUGUAUCUCAGGAAGCUUCACCUAGCGUCUUUACUUCAAAGCCUCUCAUAGAUUCUUCACUUUUGAAAAAUACUUAUGUUGGUUUAAGUUCAGGCGGUGCCCAUAUUGGACAUCCAAAUUUUGGUAACCAGCAACCAAGUGACGAAUGCCUUCAAAGAAAAUCUGAAUCUCUAUCUGGUUCAGAAGCAAAGGGCCAUUCAGCUGCAUUGGUGCAACCUGCUCUAGGAAAUCAUCAUAAUGGGAGUGGAGGUGCACACAAGGGCCUUCGGAUGGCUAACGUUGUACAUCGAUUCAAGAGCUUAGUUGAAUCUUUGGAAAUUGGUGUUGUGCUAUCUGGGAGGUUGUGGUCCUCAAGCCAAGCAAUCUUCCCAAAAGGGUUCAGGAGCAGAGUAAAAUAUUUCAGCAUCGUGGAUCCAACACAAAUGGCAUACUACAUAUCUGAAAUAUUAGACGCUGGACCACAGGGACCUCUGUUUAUGGUGACUCUGGAAAACUGUCCAGGCGAACUUUUUAUCAACGUCUCUCCUGCCAAGUGCUGGAGCAUGGUCCGUGAGAGGCUGAAUAUGGAAAUACGGAGGCAACUCAGUACGGGAAGAGCUAAUCUUCCUGCACUACAGCCACCGGGAUCAGUUGAUGGUUUUGAAAUGUUCCGGUUGCUGUCACCGGCAAUUGUUCAGGCAAUCGAGGCACGGGAUAGAGAUCGCAUCUGCACAGAGUACUGGAGAUCCAGGCCUCAUGUUGUCACUGAAGAUCGUGCGACGGCGCCACCUCAGGCUCAGGGUCCUCUGCAUGCGCUGAGGGGUCUAUUCCAGCGAGCCAACCGCAAUGAGCUGCUAGCCCUACGGAGUCUACUGGUGAGCAACAUCAGCCCGGACGACUUCUCCAGGCGGCAGGCUACCCAAAUCCUCGACGAGGAGAUCGCCAAGCAGUGGCGCUGACAGGCGUAAAUACAACUCUGUAAUCUCUUGAUGGCAUGACGGGACCAAGCAGUUUUCGACCUUGACGAAAGAGCGGCUCCUUCCGUUGCCCCCGUGCCC